GCGCGGGUGGCGGAACGGACAGAGGCGCUGGAUUUAGGUUCCAGUGGAGUAUUCCUUGGGGGUUCGAGUUCCCCCCUGCGCA
rnacentral:tRNA from 1 species